rnacentral:rRNA from 1 species
GCCGCCGGCCAUAGGGCGUGGGAUCCACCCGCUCUCGUUCCGAACGCGGAAGUGAAAACACGCCACGUCCCUCAGCUCUAUGGUGCGGGAGCCCAUGAGAGCUGAGGGAUGCCGGUAGCC